UGCCAGACUCCUACGGGAGGCAGCAGUGAGGAAUAUUGGUCAAUGGUCGGGAGACUGAACCAGCCAAGCCGCGUGAGGGAUGAAGGUACAGAGUAUCGUAAACCUCUUUUGUCAGGGAACAAAGGCGGGGACGUGUCCCCGGAUGAGUGUACCUGAAGAAAAAGCAUCGGCUAACUCCGUGCCAGCAGCCGCGGUAAUACGGAGGAUGCGAGCGUUAUCCGGAUUUAUUGGGUUUAAAGGGUGCGCAGGCGUUCUGUUAGUUCGGGGGUCAAACCCCGGGGCUCACCCUCGCUCCGCCGUUGAAACUGGCAGUCUCGAGUUGGAGAGAAGUAUGCGGAAUGCGCGGUGUAGCGGUGAAAUGCAUAGAUAUCGCGCAGAACUCCGAUUGCGAAGGCAGCAUGCCGGCUCCACACUGACGCUGAGGCACGAAAGCGUGGGUAUCGAACAGGAUUAGAUACCCCCGUA
rnacentral:rRNA from 1 species